CAGAGACACUUAAUAAAGUACGACAUGAAAUAGAAAAAUAACUCGAUAGAUAUGUUCUCAAAUUAGAAAAUAUUUUCUUAUUCUAGUUCUAGGGAAGACGGGAAUAAAUAUUGUGCAGAAAAAUAUGCAGCAUGACAUAAAACAAUUGUCCCAAUCUACCAUAAGCAUAGAUGCCCCUCAGAAGAUUUUCUUGUACGCCCAUAGCAUCAAAGUUUUCAUACACCUCAUCAUAACUUGUGAAAAAUUCCUCUCUGCCAUCGCUUCCAAGUCUGCAAUCAUUAAUUCAGAAAAUCAAACAAGUGUACUAUGAUCACCAUCACUAUUGAAAAAUGGAAUAAAUGAAUUCUAUGAUCAUAGGCAGGAAGAGUACACUAAUAAACAAAUCAAACCAUGUUUCCAGCCAUG
rnacentral:lncRNA from 1 species